GCGCCGGGGUGCGAACCUGGGG
rnacentral:miRNA from 1 species